rnacentral:lncRNA from 10 species
CUUUACGUAAGACUCUGUUGAAAAAAAGAACAGGCACAGCAUUCACAUAAAUGAGGCAAGACUCAAUCGGAAAGAUAUCCUGAGAGAAAGUGUAGAAUCCAAGGAAAAGGCAGAAGUGAGUUGGGUGUUUGUUUUUUUGGAAGUGGGGGCGUGUCCAGGGCAGUGGGGGGCACUACAGGCACGCUACUAUGCCCGGCUAAUUUUUCUUAUUAAUAAAAUUUUUUUUAGAGACAAGGUCUCACUAUAUUGCCCAGGCUAGUCACAAACAAGUGAUAACGUUUUUCACCAAAGGAAUUUACAACAAUAAAUGCCGACAUCCUGUAGUGUUCCAUAUCUAAAUGUAGCUGAUUAUCCAGCCUUCCUAUAUCCUUCCCUUCAAAACAAUCAAACUUGCAUUUAUAAGAACUUACUUGAUGACCAGUAUGAUGCAUCAACCAAUCUUCAUUAAGAAGAUUCCUCCUUUAGGUAAAAGACAGUUAAUGAAACACUGUGAGGAGCUUAGUCAUCUCUCCUCCCCCUCAACCCUCUCCUCAUCUUCUCCCCCACAUUCAGAAUUCAGAUAAUUUCAUCUCAGGCACAUCUUUCCCACACUCUGAUCUCUUUCCACCUUCUACUGUUCCCAGUGUCAUUAAGGUGUCUCAAAGAAAUGUCUCCCCCUCUUUUUGCAUUCUUUCUGAUUAAAAAUAUAUUCCCACAAAUAUCUCCACUAACUAUUAUCAGUGGUCCUACCAACACACUUGCAUCAAAGAAGAGGAAAUCUUCAAAUUUGGAAGUAAAACUACAUAUAAUAACCACUGCCAGCAAACUUUAAAAAUCUUUGGCAUUUCACAGGUAACCCAGGACUUUCAGGAACCUCGCCAGUCUCUACCUAGUCUCUUGUCCCUUCGGGCUGUUUUCCAAAAGCAUUGGUUCUCAAGAUUAAAUACACAUAUACCUCCCCGCCACCCCACUCUACAACCAUACUGCUUUUCUGUUUUAACUACUUCUAUUACAACCGUAUUUUUUUCUUCUGCUUUUCUCUGAAAACACAUUCAAAUAGGCCCCUCCCAGCUAGACAAUUAAUAUACUUUUUCUCUGGGAGAAAAAAUGGUCUCACAUUUUCAACAAACCUUUUUAUAAUCAAACUUCUGGAUUAAUACAUGUUUUUAAGUUAAGGAUUUUUCUGUUUUACUUCAUGUAUUAAUUGGGCAUAAUAUCUAGCAGGAAAAGAAUGUAAGAUGAGCUCUGUGAUUCUGAAAGCAUGGGCCUAGAGGAGCAGCAUCAGCAGUACUUGGGAACUGUGGGGGGAAAAGCACAUUCUUAUGUUCCACCCCAGACCUACUGAAUCAGAAACUUUUUUUGCAGGGCCCAGCAAUCUGUGUUUUAAUCAAUAAGCCCUCCAAGUAAUUCUGAUGCAAGCUGAUAUUGAACAGCAAUGGACUGUUUCACCAAACCUGUUGGAAAGCUAAAGCAAAGACAGCAGUGAAUGUCAAAUUACUAGGAAGUUUGUAAUAUGGUACAGAUAAGAAAAAGGCAAUGCCAAAACAUGUAGCAUGGGUCCACCCACAAUUAACCAGGCUAGGCAAAGUGUGGCAGAGACUAUCUGAAACAGCCUUAUUUUAAAAAGUAACUAAGCCCAAACUGAUAUUCAAACUAAAAAAAAGAAACAAAAAUAUUACCUGAGCACACACAGCAAAUAAUGCACAUUGAUCCAAUGAAUAAAGCUGUAACAAGAGUAGAAGGGAAUCACAGAACAUGCUCGACGCAAUACCACAUGCAUGCUGGGGUUUAUAGGUUCACAGUCCAUUUCUGGGUAACCUCAAGCCCAUGACUCAUGUAGAAGGAACUGAGGUGUGGAGAUCAAUGAGAACAAGUCCAACAGUGUAUUUAUAUGACUAUUUCUAACCAAGAAUAUUUGUACAAAAGCAUCUAAUUUGAAAUAAAUUGGAAGACCCAAUUUUGUAAUUAGUUAUUUGCUUUAAAAAGUUGUCCCUAAGUCAUUUCAGACCAUAUACUCAGGAUAAAAUACUGUCAUUUACAGAAUGGUGUUCAGUAACUAAAAAUGUUUUACUUUAAAUAUCAAUUGGUAGAACAAAUCUUAAAUAAUAAGUAAUUUCUGUGCUUUCUAAGUCCUAUCAAUGAAUACCACAAUUUUUUUCUUCAACACUAAGUUAAGGGCUAGGGAAACAAGUUAUUACAGGCUUAUUGACAAAUACUGAUGAUCUAACAUUUCAAGCCAUUUGCUAUAAAUAAUCAAUUGCUA